rnacentral:lncRNA from 1 species
UCACCUGGAACACAUACCCUGCCCUGAAACCUGAGUAACCCAUCGGCGGAGACUCGGAAUUCUGAGCUAACUCCCUGUUCUGCAUCUUUCUUGAGGGUUACUAGGGCGGAAUCGGCGGACUGAGCUUCUCUUAUUCGCUGAAUUAACUCAGGCUGAAUGGUCAAAUAACCCAAACACGUGACUCUCCUCAAGUCCUAAAGUCGAACCUGUUAUGUGGCCCCAAUCUGCCUACAUUCU